AGCAGCCGCGGUAAUUCCAGCUCCAAUAGCGUAUAUUAAAGUUGCUGCAGUUAAAAAGCUCGUAGUUGAAUUUCGGGACCAUCAUGUCGGUCGUGCCUCGGUACGUACUGGCAUUGUUGGUUUCUCCCUUCUGACGAACCAUGAUGUCAUUAAUUUGAUGUCAUGGGGAAUCAGGACUGUUACUUUGAAAAAUUAGAGUGUUUAAAGCAGGCUCGCGCUUGAAUACAUUAGCAUGGAAUAAUGAAAUAGGACAUUUGAUUCUAUUUUGUGGUUUCUAGGAUCGAUGUAAUGAUUAAUAGGGAUAGUUGGGGGCAUUAGUAUUCAAUUGUCAGAGGUGAAAUUCUUGGAUUUAUUGAAGACUAACUACUGCGAAAGCAUUUGCCAAGGAUGUUUUCAUUAAUCAAGAACGAAAGUUAGGGGAUCGAAGACGAUCAGAUACCGUCGUAGUCUUAACCAUAAACUAUGCCGACUAGGGAUCGGAUGAUG
rnacentral:rRNA from 1 species